AGAGUUUGAUCAUGGCUCAGGAUGAACGCUGGCGGCGUGCCUAAUACAUGCAAGUCGAGCGGAGAAUUUAGCAAUAGAUUCUUAGCGGCGAACGGGUGAGUAACGCGUUGGUGACCUGCCUCGAAGUUUGGGAUAACAGUCCGAAAGGACUGCUAAUACCGGAUGUGAUCGCGGAGAUUAGAGGCUCUGUGAUUAAAGGAGAAAUUCGCUUCGAGAGGGGCCUGCGUCCCAUCAGCUAGUUGGUAAGGUAAAGGCUUACCAAGGCGAUGACGGGUAGGGGACCUGAGAGGGUGGCCCCCCACAAUGGAACUGAAACACGGUCCAUACACCUACGGGUGGCAGCAGUAGGGAAUAUUGCAUAAUGGGCGAAAGCCUGAUGCAGCAACGCCGCGUGUGCGAUGAAGGCCUUCGGGUCGUAAAGCACUUUUGGAGGGGAUGAGGAAGGACAGUACCCUUCGAAUAAGCUUCGGCUAACUACGUG
rnacentral:rRNA from 1 species